GAUGAACGCUGGCGGCGUGCCUAAUACAUGCAAGUCGAGCGAACAGAUAAGGAGCUUGCUCCUUUGACGUUAGCGGCGGACGGGUGAGUAACACGUGGGUAACCUACCUAUAAGACUGGGAUAACUUCGGGAAACCGGAGCUAAUACCGGAUAACAUUUGGAACCGCAUGGUUCUAAAGUGAAAGAUGGUUUUGCUAUCACUUAUAGAUGGACCCGCGCCGUAUUAGCUAGUUGGUAAGGUAACGGCUUACCAAGGCAACGAUACGUAGCCGACCUGAGAGGGUGAUCGGCCACACUGGAACUGAGACACGGUCCAGACUCCUACGGGAGGCAGCAGUAGGGAAUCUUCCGCAAUGAGCGAAAGCCUGACGGAGCAACGCCGCGUGAGUGAUGAAGGGUUUCGGCUCGUAAAACUCUGUUAUUAGGGAAGAACAAACGUGUAAGUAACUGUGCACGUCUUGACGGUACCUAAUCAGAAAGCCACGGCUAACUACGUG
rnacentral:rRNA from 1 species